GUCAGGGACAAUGGCACAUGCCUGUAAUCCAAGCUACUGGGAGGCUGAGGCAGGGUGAUUGCAGGUUUGAGGCCAGCCUGGGAAUUUAGUGAGACCCUGUUUCAA
rnacentral:sRNA from 1 species